ensembl:lncRNA
AGCAAGCGAGGCCGCAGUUGUACGCGUGGGAUGAAAGGUCAGUGCGGCCUUUUGAUUUGUGCCCUGCAGUAGCACAGCUACACGUGGGCUGCCAAGCAAACGCCUCUUCCGUCUGCGUGCACUUAGUGGUCACAUCUGUGAACACCACCAGAUCGUCCAAUUACUUGGGGUCCUUUAACCCCCCUCCUGUUGGCAAAAUAGGGCUAUGAAAAAGCAUGCAUAAGCAGAUGGUCAGCAUGCAGGCAGGCUCCCUAAUAAGAUGAACCAGGUCAUAACAUAGAUUUGAAUUCACUUUAUUCUCAUUGCAAAUAAUUUUAUCACAAAAUAAAAAGCUAAGGAUUUUUUUUUUCUUCUGUUGCCAGUGUCCUUUUUGUGUUCUGUUGCCUCUGUCCUUUUUAUUUACUACUAGCCACCUGUUGAAUUAAGGAGAUUGUAAAGUUUAUCAGAGCAACAAUAUAUAUAAAAAGAAAUGUGUAAGCAUGUGUGCAGCAAUAAAAAGCUAUAUAUUUCACUAUAUCUAUUUCUACUGUGGCCUGUUUAUUAGCAACUGACAUCAGUGUGGCUUUAUUUCUGGAAGGACUUGGUGGGUUCCUUCAGUUUGUUUUCCUGCACCCAAGCAGAUGGCUGGCUCUGCAUCGUCCUGCUUCAAGCAGCAAGGAAAACAUGACUACUCUGCUCCUUUGGUGGCCCAUUUGGGAGUAGAGCACUGCGUUGUUUUUAUCGAAUACUUUCUCCCAGGAAUGUUUUGUUUCAUUAGCAGCACCAUGGCACAGCCUUGAUCAAUAUGGUGAUGGUGUGUCAGAUGAUUUUUAUCUUGGAAAAAAUUGCUCUGGGCAGUCCCCAGCAGGUGAGUUGUCCAUCCUUCUCGUCACCCCGUGCCAGAAUUGUCUGUGGUUCUGUGAUUACUGACUAGUUUAUUCUGUUUGUUAAAUCCAAGGGUGGAGGUUGCUUAGCCUCCAUGGAAAGCACUUCCGACGCUUACCUACGCAUUCGUGGAGCCACUGAAGCACGUUUCCACCAAAAACUCAAGUCCAUUGAAGAGUCUGGGCAGUCCUUCGUCUCCUCUCUGAAAACAUGGAAGCUUAUUCUGUCUUCUGCCGUCUUCCUCCCGCUUCUGUGCUGGUCAGGGUCAUGCCGAUACCAUUCGUGCAAGGAUGUGACAGUGACGAAUCGCACGAGCAAGGUGGUGGCGUGACCUGCUCUAGAGGGAAGGCGAGGAAAUGUGUCAGAGUUCCCAGUCCUUGAGAUACGCGUCAGGAGGUGAAGGCUGAUCCUUCAUAUCAAGGCUAAGAUGACAUUAUCUCUCCCUUCUGGCUCACAAGGUUUUAUACUAACGCAUUCUUGGCACGGCACAGCAGAACCACCAAUACUUCUAUGAAUUUUAUUAAGCUUGCCUCCAUAACGGGAGCCAGCAAUGGGCUCUCUCAAACUCCUCCUUCCCCCCACCCCGGGAUGUAAAACUGAAUUGUUAUCCAGGAGUUUUAAAGCAACUUUGUUGGUGGCAAGUUCAAUCUCCUGUUCCCUUCCGGAUAAGGACCUGGAGUUGUUUGUAGCUGCGUGGGACUCUCCUGCUGUGAAGUUUCAGGGUUAAUUUUGCUGGCCUUAGGAAAGCUUUGCUGGUUUUUGAAUGAAAACCAUUGCAUGUUUGUCAUCUAAAUGAAGAUGUGACCCUGGAAUGAAGGUUGCUGUCCUUGGAAAGCUGGAAAGCCCUGGCUUUUCCUGGGGCUCUGGCUCAUGGCUGUAGUCCAGCAGAGGUUUGCUCGCCCAUGUUCAUGGCCCCUUCUUCAACAGGG